rnacentral:rRNA from 1 species
AAUCCCUACGGGGCGCAGCAGUGGGGAAUAUUGCACAAUGGGGGGAACCCUGAUGCAGCGACGCCGCGUGGGUGAAGAAGUCAUUCGUGACGUAAAGCCCUAUCAGCAGGGAAGACAAUGACGGUACCUGACUAAGAAGCCCCGGCUAACUACGUGCCAGCAGCCGCGGUAAUACGUAGGGGGCAAGCGUUAUCCGGAUUUACUGGGUGUAACGCGCGCGUAGACGGCGGCGCAAGUCCGGAGUGAAUGCCCACGGCCCAACC